rnacentral:rRNA from 1 species
CCAGACUCCUACGGGAGGCAGCAGUCGGGAAUAUUGCGCAAUGGAGGAAACUCUGACGCAGUGACGCCGCGUAUAGGAAGAAGGUUUUCGGAUUGUAAACUAUUGUCGUUAGGGAAGAUAAAAGACUGUACCUAAGGAGGAAGCCCCGGCUAACUAUGUGCCAGCAGCCGCGGUAAUACAUAGGGGGCAAGCGUUGUCCGGAAUCACUGGGCGUAAAGGGCGCGUAGGCGGUAAUAUAAGUCAGAUGUGAAAGGUGGGGGCUCAACCCCUAGAGUGCAACUGAUACUGUAUAACUUGAGUGUGAGAGAGGGAAGCGGAAUUCCUAGUGUAGCGGUGAAAUGCGUAGAUAUUAGGAGGAACACCAGUGGCGAAGGCGGCUUUCUGGCUCAUAACUGACGCUGAGGCGCGAAAGCGUGGGGAGCAAACAGGAUUAGAUACCCCAGUA